AUUGAACGCUGGCGGCAGGCCUUACACAUGCAAGUCGAGCGGAGCGGCGGACGGGUGAGUAAUACCUAGGAAUCUGCCCGGUAGUGGGGGAUAACUUCCGGAAACGGACGCUAAUACCGCAUACUAUCAGAUGAGCCUAGGUCGGAUUAGCUAGUUGGUGAGGUAAUGGCUCACCAAGGCUACGAUCCGUAACUGGUCUGAGAGGAUGAUCAGUCACACUGGAACUGAGACACGGCCCAGAAUCCUACGGGAGGCAGCAGUGGGGAAUUUUGGACAAUGGGCGAAAGCCUGAUCCAGCCAGGCCGCGUGUGUGAAGAAGGUCUUCGGGUUGUAAAGCACUUUAGGUUGGGAGGCGUUACCGGCAGAAUAAGCACCGGCUAACUCUGUGCCAGCAGCCGCGGUAAUAC
rnacentral:rRNA from 1 species